AUUGAACGCUGGCGGCAGGCCUAACACAUGCAAGUCGAACGAGUGGCGGACGGGUGAGUAAUGUCUGGGAAACUGCCUGAUGGAGGGGGAUAACUACUGGAAACGGUAGCUAAUACCGCAUACCAUCGGAUGUGCCCAGAUGGGAUUAGCUAGUAGGUGGGGUAAAGGCUCACCUAGGCGACGAUCCCUAGCUGGUCUGAGAGGAUGACCAGCCACACGUGAACCGAGACACGGUCCAGAAGCCCACGGGGGGCAGCAGUGGGGAAGAUUGCACAAUGGGCGCAAGCCUGAUGCAGCCAUGGCGCGGGGAUGAAGAAGGCCUUCGGGUUGGAAAGUACUUUCAGCGAGGAAGCGUUUCCCGCCGAAGAAGCAACGGCUAACUCCGGGCCAGCAGCCGCGGUAAUUC
rnacentral:rRNA from 1 species